UGCACGCGCAGGGAGGGCCACAGCGUCCCGGGCCCCUCCUCCCCCGCCGCCGCCGGGGCACACCGCACCUGAACCCCACUCCCCAGGACGCCCCAUUGUUCUCCCUCCGCUUUCCUGCCCGCAGGAGGCCACACCGUGUCUUUCCAGGGAGCCAGGAAACAGCUGUGGGCCAGAGGGAUGGAGGGGCUGUGGGUGAACACGAGGACAGCCGAGAUUCGACUCUCCCCACAGACUUACUGACAUAAAAUGAGAAAUACAACGUUUGACAACUCGAAGCCAGCCUGGGGUCACGUUCCGGCAAAGAGUGGAAACCAGCAAAGCCAAGGACAGAGAGGUCUUCAGGGAAUACAUGGCUAUGGUGGUUUGAAGACUCCCAUUAGAGAGUGGAUAUUAAUUGCCCUCCUUUUGAAUAUGGUCUGGACUUAGUGAUUUGAUUGUAACAAAUAGAAUACAGCAGAUGUGAUGCUAUGUGACUUCCAAACCUAGGUCAUAAAAGGAGACAAAGUUUUCACCUGGCUCUCCCUUGGGACACUCACCCUUGGAACCCAGCUGCCAUAUUGUGAGGAAGCUCAAGCCACAGGGAAGGCCAUGUGUAGGUGUUUGGGCUGAUGGUGCCAGCCGAGGACCCAGUCUACUGCCAGUACAACUUAUACCAGGCAUGUGAGUUGGCAAGCUUUUGAAAGAACUCCAGCCACAGUCACUGACUGACCACGCUGUCUGAGAGACCUAGAGAGAAAACCUAGCUGAGCCAAGUCAGGCCCCGGAAACGUAAGUGAUAAUAAUAAAAGAUUGUCAUCCGGGUGGUGGUUGCAUAGCAAUAGACACCUAGAACAAUGGCAGAGCUGGAAUUUGAACCUAGACAAUCUGAUUCUAUAGUCUUCACCAUAAACUAUCAAGCACACUACCUCAGACCUUGAUAACCUAGCAUAAUGAAAACCCUGGAGAUCCCAGCCUUCACAACAGACAACAUAUGAACCUGCUACCUGGUGACAUAUGUUAGACUCACUUCUCCAUUUUGCUUGUCUGAGUUUAGGUUCUGAAGUAACUGCUUAUAGCAGUUUGACAGUUCGUGGAACUUCUGACCUCUACUGUCCAGUUCAGCUUUU